GACGAACGCUGGCGGCGUGCUUAAUACAUGCAAGUAGAACGCACAGUUUAUACUGUAGCUUGCUACACCUUAGACUGUGAGUUGCGAACGGGUGAGUAACGCGUAGGUAACCUGCCUUGUAGCGGGGGAUAACUAUUUGAAACGAUAGCUAAUACAGCAUAAUAUUAAUUAUUGCAUGAUAAUUAAUUGAAAGGUGCAAUUGCACGACCAUCAGAUGGACCUGCGUUGUAUUAGCUAGUAGGUGAGGUACCGGUUCACCUAGGCGACGAUACAGAGCCGACCUGAGAGGGUGAUCGGCCACACUGGGACUGUGACACGGCCCAGACUCCUACGGGAGGCAGCAGGAGUGAAUCUUCAGCAAGAGACGAAAGUCUGACCGAGCAACGCCGCAGGAGUGAAGAAGGUUUUCGGAUCGUAAAUCUCUGUUGUAAGAUAAGAACGGGUGUGAGAGUGGAAAGUUCACACUGUGACGGUAUCUUACCAGAAAGGGACGGCUAACUACGUG
rnacentral:rRNA from 1 species